rnacentral:lncRNA from 1 species
UUAAACUGGCGGAAUUAACAGAUGAUAACGACUCCCAUUUUAUAUAAGGAUAAGUGUAAACUUCCAAUCUACUUGACUAUGAGUUUGAAAUCACGGUAUCCAUAAGUCCAAAUAUAAAAAGGGCAUUAGAGCCAAAAACAAAAUGGAUAUUCAUCGUUCAUUUAGUAAUCUUCUACAUCUCCCCGUACCUGGAGAUGGAAACCUUGAGCACUGGCAUGAUGCCAUCAAUAUCCAUCAGCUCGAACAAGCAACCUCCCAACUGAAGAUGGUUAGCCUUUGCAAAUGUCGGUCGGUCAAGUUUCCCAUGUACAUCUCCGCUUCAUUUUGUGUUUUUUUACUUCCAUAAGCCACUAAUGCGUUGAUUUGUUCUUCUUCUAGGUAUCUUCGACAACUUGAAUAAGUUUCAUAGUCUGAUCCUUCCAAUUGGUAUCAUCUGCACUCAAUUCGUAUAAUAUGCACUCACAAACACAAAAACAAAGGGAAAAUAAAUCACUCCCAUCAUAAAAAAAGCUCAAUAGGUCGAUUUCUAAUAUUGUUAUUAUUACCACACAAUUGUGACAGCGUUAUGACUUCCCUAUUACAAUAUUGCAUGAUGGAUAGGUUUUGGUCUUCCCCUUGCUUGUGUCAUUUAGCAAAUCUAAAUAAUCAUAGCCUGGCUAAACAGAACAAACUCUAAACUACACAAAAUCUUUAUGAUAUCACCAAUAACUAAUUCAAUAAAAAUGGCUGAUCGAAAGAGAGAUCAAAAAACAAAUUUUACGUACAACGGGAACGUAAGUUCCACAUAUAAGAUAAUACAUAAUAGAAUGAGAUUUAACAUUAAGAUGAGUAAAAUGAGUAAAAUGCAGUAUAAUAUCGUAUACAGAGAUGAAUUGUAACCCUACAACUAUUUACUUGCUUACUAUGUUUCAUAUAUCUCCUCCCCCAAUGAGGCUAAGCAUCUGAAUCUAAAAAAAUCUCAAUUGAGAUUUAAUCUCCACGAUCAUCACCAACAUUCUCCUCCAUUUAUGAAUCCGA